rnacentral:lncRNA from 1 species
UUUUUUUUUUUUUUUUGCGUAAAUUGCUGCAAAAUGAGUUGUAACUAGUUCUCGUAAAGCCUUAAUGAUGAAUAAUGAAGCCUUAAUAUAUAUAUGGUAGAUUUAGUUCCUCGAAGUUCAUAUGCAUGGAAGAGAAUGUUGCAAGUAAGAGAGCUGGCUGAGUUCCACAUUGGUUGGAUUGUUCGCUCGGGAAAUUCUAGUUUCGGGUUUGAUAAUUGGUUGGGGACGGGAGCGCUGGCUGGUUGUUUGGAUAGUGUUUCUGAUCAUUGUAUUUGGGACUUUUGCAAUAAUGGAGCUUGGAAUCUUGAAUUGCUGAAUCAAUGGCUUCCUCCGGAUUUUGUUUAGGAAAUUACUUGUUCAGCUCCAUCAGCUUUGGACUUGCAAGAUAAGAUGAAUUGGUUGCCAGACCAAUCAGGUUUGAUUUCUUUAAGCCCGCUUUUUCAAUAGUGCAAUUACAUUCUAGUCAUUCAUCCAUGUAUAGGCGGAUUUGGCAUGCUAGAUUGCCUUUUAAAAUUUCUUUCUUUGCGCUCCGGAUGUUGAGAGAUCGGUUGCCGUUAGAUUCCGCUCUUUGCAAAUUGGUUUUUCACCUUCCUUGUAGGUGUUUUUGCAGUGUAAACCCUGAUAUAGAGUCGUUGGAUUAUGUGUUUUGCUCGGGUGAAACUGCUUCAUGGGUUUGGAAUUUUUUUGGUUCAGUGUGUGGAGUGGUUAAUUUAGGUCCCUCCGUUCGCGCUUAUACUGGUGGCUUGUGGUAUGGUCCUAGGUGGCAUAAGUUUCUGGAAUUUAUUCCUCAUCUUCUUCCUUUGUUGAUAUGCGGGCAUCUAUCGAAAUUCUAGAACUUGGCAGUGUUUGAAGGGAAGUGUUUAUCUCCUCAGGCGAUUUGUUCCUUGGUGUUUUCUUACUUGAGGGAAUUAUAUAAUUUGCACUUUCAUUCUGCUAAUGCUUGGUGGGUUUUGGGUUUGAUUUCUAUGAUGAAGUUUUUGGAAUGUCUGUUAAUAGCAGCUUGAAAUUGGUUAAGUGGCUCAGGCGAGGUGGUGGUAUUUUAAAGUUGAAUACUGAUGGUUGCUCUAAGGCUAACAUGAAAUUUUUCAUGAAGCAAGUAUUUGCAAAUGAAUUAGAAACAGUAAUCUAAUAGGAUAAUAUUCCAAGUAUUCUCUGCAUCCCUAAUACUCUAAUAGGAUAAUAUUUCUUAGAGUAUUGUUAAAAAAAUCGACAAAAUAAGAGAAGUGAUGGGUCUUUUCUUCAUCUAGGGGGGGGACUAAAAUCGGCAAAAAUUGGCACCACUAACCUGAGGCACCCCUCCCCCCCAACAUAGGAUUAUCUCUCAUCUUGAGAGCAUUUUCUCUCUCUAGCUUGGGAGCGAAUUUCCCCCAUGUGGGUGUUUUCAAAUAUUUCAAACUCCAAAGUUUCCGUACCUUCGUUCUUGGCAACAUAUCCAUACUCUAAAUUUAAGGCAGAAGCACAUAAAUUUAGCCUUCGAUUUCAAAUCAUGUCUUAACACUCUUGAGCUUUCACUAGCAAUAUCAUGGAUCUGUUGAAGGAAAGGAAGCUUGUUGAACCAGGCUGAUACUUUCAUCAGCCUCUUCAUAGUUUGUCUUUUUCUUUCGAUUUCUCAUCCUUUUUUGCAGUGCAUUCAGCUCAAAGUCUAACCCAAAUCUCUUUUGUGUCUUUCGGCCUCUAUCAUUGUUGACGACUUUCAGCUGAGAUCUUAGCCAGUAGACCACCAAGCCUGUAUUCCGUGUCUUUAGUUUCUAUUUCAGUAGUUGCUUUCAGUAGCGAUAGUGUAGAUGCGGUAGUGUGGGUUGUGUGCGUGUUAAAGAUCUACUAUUUUUCUGAUCUGUCUCUGAUUUACAGGUAGUUAACAGGGGCUAUCCGAUAGGUAAGAUCUAUAGAAAACUGAUAAGGAUUAAAUAAAAUGGCAGAUAAGCUAGAGAAAAUUAUGAGGAAGCUUGCUUUGUCAGAAAAGGAAGUAGCAGGGAUCUAGGUGGAAAGAGAAGAUGUCUCGUACUGUCUAGAAGAGUGUAAGAGAAGCACUAUUGGAAAAGUUGUAGGAGGAAAAACGGUGAACAUUGCAGGUAGGGCUGCAAAUGAGCUGAGUCGAGUCGAGUUUUGGACUUAUCGAUAGAACUCGACUUAAUAACAGGUAGGCUCAAAUUUGAGCUCGAGCUCGAUGAACCAAGAAAAUUGAGUUCGAGCUCAACUCGACUAAGGAAAAGUCAGGAUCGAACUCGAGUCGAUGAGGCUCGCGAGCUGUAGCUUGAUUUCUGGCUCGCGAGCUGAUCGAAUUGUUAGCUCAUAAUGUAGCUCGAAUUUCCGACUCGUGAGCAGCUCGUUAGCUCGAGUUUUUGGAAAUUAUUCUAAUAAAAAAAUAAAUAAUUAAUUUUUCUUAAUAAAUAAUAAAAUAUUAGGGAUAUAUAUAUGUAAUUUUACUAUUAAAAUAAAAAAUAAAAAAAAAUAUAUAUAUACUCGAACUCACGAGAGUUUAAUAUUUUAAACUCGAGUUCGAGCUCGAAUUCAAUUUAGCCAACUCGAGCUCGACUCGAGCCGCUCGCCUAAUUGCAGGUAUGUGAAUCUUUACAAGUAAAAUGCAUAUUUGUGAAAAACUUAAAGGUGAUGGAAAAUGGGGUAAAUAUGUUCUAGUUUGUGUUUGCUAAUAUGCAGGAUAAAGAUAGAGCGUUAAAUAGUAGACCAUUGGUUUAUGAUAAUUUGCCGUUAGUAAUACUUUCAUGGAAGGAGGGGCUGGAAAUCGAUCAAAAUGCUUUCAACAAAACUUGGAUAUGGGUACAAAUCUGGAAUCUCCCUUACAUUGGAUUACAAAAGACACGGGAAGAAAAAUUAGAGGUGUAUUUCUGUCUGUGAAGGAAGUUAUUGCACCAAAUAGUGGGAGUAAAAAGGGAAAACAUUGAAAAUCUUAACUGAAGUUGACCCGAAUCAACCAAUGCUGAGGGGAACUCUGGUUAAAAUGAACAGUAUAAUUAAAUGAGUGGAAUUUAAGUCUGAAAGGUAUCCUAAUUUCUGCUUUAACUAUGGCAUUAUGAGGCAUACUUAGAGAAACUGUAAAGAGAAAGGAACCCAUAUGGGAAAGGAACCUCAAUUUGGAACUUCAUUAAAGGCUAGCAAUCCUAAAAGUCCUACUAAGAAACAGGGUAGAUCUAGACAGCAUGAGGAUGAUCCAAAUGAAAUAGCAAGCGAUACACAAAAUGAAAAUGGGGACAUAAACUGAUCGAUGAUAACUUGGAAAGAGAAUGAGGGGGAAAAAGAAGAGAAUGAAGGUAGAAACAAAGAGGACAAUGAGGAUGAUGGGGCUAGAGUUAAAGGAAAUAGUGGUCAGAUCAUUAGGGAGGAGCAAAUGAGAGAGGAAAAUUAUGUUGUAAUGGGUAAAAAUGAUUUUUGGGAGAAAAGGGAAGAGGACACUGGGAAAUCUCAAAAGGGCAAUGAGGGGAAGCAAAAGGAAAUGAGGGAUGUUGUGAGAAAGGGUAUUGAGGGAGUUGAGGAAGAGAUAGGGGAAGUAGGGCAGGAGGACAAUAUGUGGAUAGAUGGAAUUAAUGAUCACAGAAUGGAAAGGCAGGUGCGAAGGAAAAAGCAGGAAGCCUGUUGGAAGCUAAAGAGGGUGGACAGGAUGGAAUUGGGAAAGAGAAUAAGAAAGGAAAAUACAAAGGGAAUAUAGGAUGGAAAAUACUAGUGAAAGAAGUAGGGAACAUGAAGCCUUUAGCAGAUUGUACUGCGAGAAUUAUUGGGGCAAAGGAGAUAGUAAAAUGAAAAGUGGUAGUUGAGGAUGGUGUCAAUAGUGAGGGAAUGGAAGUAGAUAGUCAAACUAAGAGGAUCAAAGGGAGUGUUUAUUAGGAAGAACAUGAGAGUAAUCUGAAGGUGGUGGAGUCCUACCUAAAAAGGCUCCAAGUUGUCAAUAAAUGUACUGGUGUGGAAUUGUAGAGGUGUGGGAGGCCCUUUGAUAAUUCCCCAAUUAGAGGAGAUAGUUAAACUCCACUCCCCAAAUUUAAUUUUUUUUAUUUGAAACUAAAAAUAAAAAAUGUGCUAUGAACAAGGUUAAGAUGAAACUUAAGUUUGAUAAAUUGUUUGUGGUGGACCCAAGAGGGAAGACAGGAGGCUUAGUUGUUAUGUGGAGAAAUGAUAUUAAGGUGGACAAAGUGCUAUACUGAUUUUACUAUUGAAUUACAGAUAGAUGACCAAAAAAAAAAUUUCAAGUGGUGGAUCAUAGGCAUAUGCCAGCUCAGGUGACCUGGUUAGAGAAAAAUAGCGAGACAUUAUUAGCCAAAGGAAAGGUAUUUGGGGGGAUAACUGGAUUUUAGUAGGAGAUAUGAAUGGUAUUCUAUCAAAUGCUGAGAAUUGGAGAGGUAAUAAGAGGCCUGAGUCUAGUUUUAGAUGUUCCAAAACUUUAUCAGAAAAAAUCAACUUUCAAAUUUGGGAUUUGAUGGGAAACCAUGGACCUAGCGUAAAAAGUGGAAUAAAGGUGAUGAGGUAAAAGAAUGACAGGACAGGAUAUUGACAGAUAAUGGAUGGAAGGAGGCUUAUGACAGAGCAGAAUGCACUCACAUCCAUAUUGAACCAUCAAAUCACUGUAUGCUGUUGUUAGAAACUGAACCAAAAAGAAGAAAUUGGAAAAAGAGAUUCUAUUUUGAUAGAAAAUGACUUGAAUAUAACGAAGUUAGGGAGUUAUUAAAAAAGCAUAGGGGAAAAAGCAAAAGGGAUCCAGAUUUUUCAGACUUCAAAACAAAAUCAAAGAAUAUAGCUUUGAACUCAUUAGAUGGAAUAAAAAGCUUAAAGGAAAUGCUAAGAAGGACUUUGCAGAAUUAAAGCAGAAAAUUCAAGAUACCAGGAAGGUAGUGGGACCCAAUAGGAAAGAGGACACCAGUAUCUUGCAGAGACAACUUGCAAAUGCUUACAAAAAGGAGGAAGUGUACUGGGGACAGAAAGCUAUGGUAAAGUGGUUUAAGGAAGGUGAUAAAAAUACAAGCUAGUUUCAUGCAGUGGUUGAGGAUAGAAGAAGAACAAAUAAGAUCUCUAUACUCUAGAAGCAGGAUGGAAAUUGGUGUAGUGUUGAGUUUGAAAUGGAGGAGGAAGUAACAAACUAUUUUGGCAAUCUGUUUGAAUCCUCAUAGCCAAGCCAAUUUGAUGUAAUCCUUGAAGGAAUUCCUCAGACUAUUACCAGUCAGAUGAACUUGAGAUUAACUAGACCUGUGACAAAAUGGGAGAUCAGAAAGGCAAUUUUCUCUUUGUAUCCUAACAAGACACCUGGACUUGAUGGUAUGACACCAAUUUUCUUCCAAAGAUUCUAUAAUAUUAUUAAACAUGCUCUAACUAUUGCAAUAUUUAGCUUCUUCUAUGCUGAUAACUUUCUGACAUCUAUAAAUGAACCAUUAUUACUUUAACUCCAAAGACUGAGUUUCCAGUGUUGGUGUCACAAUUUAAGCUUAUAAGUCUGUGUAAUGUAGUUUAGAGAAUCAUUGCAAAAGUCUUGGUCAAUAGAGUCAAGCCUUUACUUCAGCACUGUAUUAGUCUGAAUCAAUCAACUUUCAUACUUGGUAGGCAGAUUCAAGAUAAUGUGGUAAUUGCUUAUGAGUUGUUUCAUCACCUGAAUACUAAAAGAACAGGGAAAAUUAUGCAUAUGGCUCUUAAGUUGGACAUGUCCAAAGCUUAUGAAAGAGUUGAAUAGAUUUUUUUGGCAAAAAUAAUUUAAAGAAUGGGAUUUUGUCCUAUGUGGAUUCGGUGGGUAAUGAAAUGUGUGUCCUUUGUUAGCUAUUCCUUUAAUAUUAAUGGGACAAAAUAGGGUAUGUAAGACUUGAGAAGGGACUCAGACAAGGGGAUCUACUAUCCCUUUACCUGUUUGUGAUAGUCACUGAAGGUUUAUCUAGCCUACUUAAGCAUGCUACGCAAUGUCAAAAAAUUUCUGGAUUGAAAAUAGCAAAGGAAUGCUCGACUGUCUCUCAUUUGAUUUUUACAGAUAAUAUUCUAAUUCUCUGCAAAGCAACAAAGGAGGAAGCAUUACAGAUGUUGCAGAUUUUGAAGACCUACUCAAAGGCAUCUGGCCAAGUGAUCAAUACUGAUAAAUCAUCUGUGUUUUUUGGAAAAAUAUGAGAGAGGAUAAAAAAGGAAAGGUGCUGGAAGUGCUAGAAGAAAUGCAGCAAGUCCAACUGAGCAGGUACUUGGGUUUACCAGUAGUAAUAGGAAGGUCAAAAAAGCAGUCGUUUAGCUAUAUAAAGGAGAAAGUGAUGAAUAGGUUGAAGGGGUGGAAGGAGAAGCAGUUAAGUCUAGCUAGAAAGAAAGUAAUGCUAAAAUUUGUCAUACUGGCAAUGCCUACACAUGCAAUAGAUUGUGUUAGACUACCAAAUGGAAUAUGUGUUAAUAUAUGUAAGGAAAUGGCUAAGUUUUGGUGGGGGGAGAAGAAAAAAGAAAGGAAAAUUCAUUGGUUAGGUUGCGAGAGACUUACAAAUGUCAAAGGAAAACGGGGAUUGGGCUUUAGGGAUUUAAUGGAGUUUAAUACUACAAUGCUAGCAAGGCAGUUAUAGAGGAUUUUAACUAGGCCAAGCCAGAUGAUAAGUAGGAUACUAAAGGGAAGGUACGAUAGGGGGGAGUCAAUCUAGAAAAGGAAAAUUAAUGAAAGUGAUUCCUGGAUAUGGAAGAGUUUUCUCAGUGCAAGAGAGUUACUAGAAGGGGGGCAAGGAAGAGAGUUGGGGAUGGGCAUACAAUUGAUGUAUGGAAAGAUAGGUGGAUCAUUGAUAGAGGAAAGGGAAUGGUUACUACAGUUAAGCCUCUUGAUUAUCCUAUACAAAGAGUAAGUGAUCUUAUUCAGGAUGGGGAGUGGAAUAUGGAGCUCAUUAGGUCCAUUUUUAAUGAGGAGGACUACAAAAGUAUCAUGCACAUCCUUAUUAGCAUUUGCAACAAUAAGGAUAGAUUGGUGCGGCCAUUUUUAUCAUCUGGGAAGUACACUAUAAAGAUAGGAUAUACAUUGGCAAAGGAACAACAAAAAGAGAAGAGCAAUAGGCAUGUAAUGAAUAGGAGACAGGCAAAGAGUGAUAGUAGAAAUGAGCAGAAUACCAAGGUAUGGAGGUCCAUUUGGAGUCUAAAUAUGAAGCAUAAGCUAAACAUUUUAUAUGGAAAUGUAUGCACACGAUAUUGUAGUAAAUGGAGCCAUAAAGAAGAUAAUUGGGAAUGGGGAAAAAAAUUGCUUCUGUUGUGGAGAGGGAACUAAAACACUGGAGCAUAUGUUAUUCUUCUGUCAACAAGCAGAAAUGAUAUGGAAAGUUGCACCAGAUCAAUGGGAUGGAAUUGAGAACUUCACGCAUAAUUUUUGGUUAUGGCGUAAUAGCCUGAUGGAAGCUCAGCAGAGAAAGGAUGGAAAAUAGCACAUUGUGCUAACCAUAAAUAUUAUAUGGCAGAUUUGGAAAGCAAGGAAUGAAGCUCCAUUUAAUAGGGAAAAAAAAUGUCCAGGGACGGUGUUUAACAAAGUAGUGCAAGAGUGGCAAGAAUAUGAGCUGGCCAACCAGAAAAUUAAAGGGUUGAAGAAGAAAUACACCUAACAAAUCUAAACAGAUGGAAACCAUCAAAAGAGGAAGUGUUGAUGCUUAACACGGAUGUAGCAACAGAUAUAUAGAAAGGAAAAGCCAGCUGAGGAAUAGUAGCUAGAAAGGAAAAUGGUGAUAUCAUUAGAGCUUGGGCUGGAAUUAAGAAAGUUGCAAUAAUCCUAUGGUGAAGGAGUCCUAUGCAAUCAGGAAUGCCUUAACUAUAGCUAUGCAUGAGGUUGGAUGAAUAUGGAAGUACAAUCUGACCACAAAAUAGCAGUAAACAAGAUUUUGGAAGACGGAACAAGGGAUGCUAAGGUUGGAAUGUGAUAGGGUGUCGAGCCUGUGCAAUAAUAAUUACCUACUCAAGAAAAAUACAAAUUUUGUAUAUAGCAGUGAGCAGGGUCGAAUCUACAGGGAUUGGGGAUAAUUCGUUUAUUGUAAAAUCCAAAGUAUGGGGGGUUUUUUGGAGAAUAUAAAAUAACUAAUUAACUAACUAAUAAAACAACUAAUAGAAAUAAAUAGAAAUUAAUCAAUAACCAAUAUGACUCUAGCAAAAGGUGCAACUUUUCAAACACGGUCCAUUCAACUGAUCAUCGAUGCAAAGAUAAUUCAAUUACUCAUUAAUAGAUUGGUUAUAGUUAUCAUACACGCGAUGAACAACCAGCCUUUCCUUAAUUUCUCGAUAGUUAAGGUACGACCGUUAACUAUUUCUCUAAUCAAGAAAUAACCCUAGGUACGACCGUAGGAUUUAAUUCCCCAAUUGCAUUAAGAUCUAGAAAAGCCCAAACCCAACCCUAACCAACAAACACGCUACGAGGGUUUGUUUGAGUUAGAUCAUACGUUUCCCUAACAUGAAACCAAUCACGCUAGUCGCCACUGGUAUUAAUCAAUUAAACAAUUACGGAUUCAAUCAAUUAAUAUGACAGUAGAUUAUUAGGUUAAUUCGAACAUCGGGCCCUUGACAUUCAAAUAACAAAACAAUCAUAAGCAAUUAAAUCAGGAAACGUACAAAUACCAAUAAAUAAAAGAAAUAAAUAAAAUAAUUAGAUCUCACAGAUGUUCGAAACCGAGUCCUCAAGUUGACCUUCGACUAGAAAAAAUGAAUUAGUUCAUCUUCAUGGAGGAAAUCCCAUGCAAAAUUGCCGAAGUCCUUGCGGCCCUUGUCACCAAAAUUGAGAUAAGAAGAAAACGAUAAAGUAAGAACAACGGAAAAACUCCCAAUUCCCCAAAGAUAAAGCCGCGGCCAAAGGAAAAGAAUUGUCUCCUAAUCUAAAACAAAUUGCUUCACUUCUCUCCGUGGUCCCACCGGAUAAGGAACAAAACCAAUCCUCUGUACGUUUGUUUCCUUUUAAGUCCAAUGACUAAUGCCUUUCUUUUCUCCGUGGUCCCCGCACAAUUGAGAGCAAAAGUCCUCCCAAAGCUUCCUGCACCAACCGAGGCUUUCCUUCUUGUUUUGUUUCCUAUUUUACUUGUAGGACUCCAAUCUCCUAAUCAGCAAAGGAAAUGCAAUCUCUUUGUAGCACCAUGUGGGCCCGGUUGUUUGAAAUCUCAAUUAUCUCCAAAAAGUCUCAUUUUUUGUAGUUUUCUGUUCCAUUCCCUGAAAUUAAGUCCAGAUACCAAAUAUAAGUAAAUAUUACUAAUUAAAACAAUAUUUGGCAAGGACAAAGGGGAAAUUAACAAUAAAAUUACUAAUAAUUAACACCCUAUCAAUUCCCCCCACACCUAAAUCAUGCUUGCGCUCAAGCAUGGGAACAGCAAUUGAACAAAUUCGACAAUGACUAUUGCUCCAACUACCAUAUUGCCAAGAUACCCACGAAAAACAAAUAUCAAGCAUCACAGGUCAAGAUCCAAGAAAAACCGCCCCGGUUAGCUUCCCAACCACCAACUCCUCCAAUUUAAAGCAAACUAAUCUAAGAAAAAGGAAUGGUUGCUUACAUUUACCAGCAAAUGGUCCAACUAUUAACCAAAAUCUCGACAUUAAAAUCACAAACCGGCAAGCUGACUUAUUCACAUACUAACACAAUCUUUAUUUUAUUUUAUUUUUCUUUUUGUUUUGUUUUGUUUUUUUCUUUUUUUUUUUGAAUAACAAAAGACUUAGUCUAUAGCCCUUAGAGCCUUUUGACGCGAACUCCAACAUUUGACAGAUGGAGGAGCCCGGUUACUCAGCUCCAAUCGCUAUAGGAUCACGCACUCAUAGCAACUACUACCUUUUGAGGCGAAAAUCGACACUUUAGGUGAAGAUCCCCGGUUACUCAGUAGUAACCACUAGCGGAGUACAGUCAACUCUUAUUUACAACCAUACAACACAAUAACUAAAAAUAACACAAAAAUAACAGCAGCCAGUCUCAAAUUUCCAGAUAUGGAGAACUAAAAUUAAUAAUUGGACCAAUUCACAUGAAAAAUGCCAACAAUCAUUCUCUAUGCCUAGAAAAGUUAACCAAAAAUUAGAAAAGUCAAGCAAUUACUGAUAUUCACCAGAGAGAUGUUCCUGAACUCGACCACAUCAACUUAAUACCCUUUUAUUAAUAAAACUUGGCAAUAGCAGAAUUAGAGACAACAAUCCAACAUCAAAACUUGGUAUUCAAAUAAGAACUGACCACUCGGAAAAAGAAAAGAAAAUAAGCGAAAAAGGGAGAUAAAUAUCAAAAUAAAACAAAGAAAAAACCUCUAGAACCCAAAAACCGAAAACUGGAAAUACUAGCACCCAAAAUUGUGACGGCCCCACUUCUCCCUAAGACGAACCAGAGGGUUGGCGGGUCGCCUGCCUAGCUCUCGCCAGGACUCACGCAAGUAAACCAACUAAAAAUCCACGUAACUUAAAACCAAAACACAAUUCGUCAUCUGGACAUGCCAAACUUUUUAACGACUGAAGUACUAUUACACCUUAACUUCAGAGAUAACAUUACCAAUGAACAUCCAAUCAUUCACUCUUAAACACAUCUCCGACUAGUUCAACCCAAAACUACAAAUAUACAUUACAAACCACACAGUAAACUCAUAAAACUCAAAUAAAUUCAUACAAGCCAAAACUUAGGGUUUGCACUUUUCCAGCUUCAAGUGACAACCCAAAACAAAAGAUACAAAAACGAUUCGAAACAACAUUUACAACAGCUAAAAGCAGACUUCAAAACAUCCGAAUGCCGAAACCUGUUAAGGAAAACAAAUAUCGUGUGGUGAGCCAAAGCUCAGUGGUGUCCAAAACAUGCAAUCAUAUAAACAAAUAGCAAAUAAUAGUUCUAAACUUAAAUUCACAAAUAGGAAAGCGUAUAACAGCACAGGGUAGGAUACAGGGGCUCUCAGGAGCCAUUUUCCCCGCACUUGAUCAAAAUUAACCGUAGUUGACCCUCUGUCAACUCUCACUAUCUAAAGUCCAUGUAGAUUCAUUAUUUUUUUUCCUUAACACGCUCCAACCAGCUUGCUCCCCCUACCGGGCCCGAACGCCGAACAAGAGAGUGGUAAUACUCGAGUAUACCUUAGGGACUGGUCGAGGGAUUCACCCAACGACGUUGCGUCCAACAAGAGGUUAGUAUAGACUGGUCGAGGGAUUCACCCAACGACGUUGUGUCCAACAAGAGGUUACCAGGUCAGGAUAAGAGGCCCUCUCACCCUUAAGGUGUGGUACCUUUCCCUGCCUAGUAGAUUAGUUGACAAGUCCACGCUCCAGUCAAUAAUUGCAAGAUAUUCGAGAAAACAUUUCAAGCAAGUCACCACUCGAAAGGCUAGUGCGAUAAAGUACACACUGCCACUUCGAUGAUUCAGGAAAAACACUUUCCAAUUAUCAUAUAACAAGUCAAGAAAGCACUUUAACACAUUAGUCAUAAAACAAGCACGGACACUCACCAAACGUGAAGGUCAAAAGUCAAGCUGGGAAUCAUAGUCCACGUCCUCGUUAAACCCUAGAAAUCCAAGUUUUAAAACUAUAAGUUUUACUAAACACACAUUUGGUUUAUAUAUAGAAGAUUAUCUUGUAUAAAACUAGUUUAAUUCCUCGAAAUAAAUCAAUAACUCCCUCUUAAGAUUAAAGCUGGAAAAGAAACAAAAUGUUUCGUGAGGUUUCUUUUAAAGAUAUUUCCUUUCUAGAAGCAAACUAGAACCAAAUUAGUUUAAACAAGUUUUCUUGCCGAACAAGUUUUCUAUGUCUUUUAUUUGAAAUUAUUCAAAUCUAGUGUUUUUCCAAAUUUCCUCUAAAACAACUGGUCAAGGGUAAUUUUUAUGAAAAAACUUUAAAGUUUGGAAGUUAAUACAAUUAUUCCUUAAAGGUAAUAAAACUAGUUUAAGUAAAGAAAAGCAUUAACUAGUCGGCAAGGUUUUAAAAGUCCUGAUAUUUAAAUUUUAAUAUUAACGUACUAUACUAUAUAUAUAUAGCUUGCUAUUAAGGUAAAAUAUUUCCACAAGGCUUGAUUUAAGAGUAUUUGCAUUCAAAAAAUUAAAAUGGACUUCACGAUUCCAAUUCAUUUGCACAUUGUAUUCCAAGUUGCCAAUACAGCUAAAACACAAUUCAAAUAUAAAUUUCACUAGGGCUUCAUCAAUCAUUAGCCCUAGGUCUCAACAGAUUCAGAUCCAAACAAAAUUUAACAAAGGAAGUCCGAGGUAUCAAAACAAUUCCCAAUCACAAACCACGGACCUUCCAAUUACAUUUUAGCCAAUCACUAAAACAAAUUUACCAAAAUUAAAUUCUUGCCAAAAACUACUCAAAUGGCCAAGAGCUUCAUCAAUCAUUAGCUCUUGGUAUCAAACAAACAUCCCUUGCCACAGCCAACAGAAAUUUAACUCAAGUAUAGAAGAUAAGUCACGGCUAGCUCACAUUCAAAUAACUCUAGAAGUUCAUAUUUUCCUUUCUUGCUUUGAUAGUCAAGAAAAAUUCUAGCAAAUGUCAAUUCAAGAUGUCUAUUAAAUCUCCAUCUUUUACUUGCUAGAUACACUAAACAUAUAGCUUAUAGUCUGCUCAACUUAAACUAAAACAAAUAAUACGCAAAUCCAGAAAAUAAUCUCACUAAAAGUUUCAAUUAGUACGGCUAGCAACCAUGUACAAAUUCCAGCAAAGAUACUUCAAAAUUUUCAACAAGGUUUCUAUCCUUAGCUUGCUUUAAACACUAAACACUUAACAUGCAAAAGAAGAUUAACCAGCCACAAACUACUCUUAACAUCCAAUACGAGAGUCUUAGCUAAAAAUUCGAGAGAAACUAGUUAAAUGUUCAACCCAAAACAAGAAGAAAAACCACAGCCAACUUGACUCCCAAAUAAUUCUAAAAUUCAAAAUUUUCUUCAAUUUUUACUUAAUUCAACAUGCAAAAGGUGAUUAGCAAGCUACAAGUAAAUUUUAAACAUUCCAUAUGAAAAUCUUAGCUAAAAUUCAAAGGAAAACUAAUUAAAUGCUCAACCUCUUCUUUCGGCCGCAAUUCAGCUUUCUUUUCUUCCUCCUUUUUUUUAUUAAACACGACUCAUCUCAGCUUCAUGCAUGAUCAAAAUAAUUAACUAUCAAUCAGUUUUGAUCCAAUCCAAGUGCGGACAUCAUAAAAAAAAAAUCAUCCAACCUACUCGGUUGUCAUGCAUGCAUCCAGAUUUUUUUUUCCUUCAAAUUUCUGGUUUACACACUGCUAAUAAAUCUCAUGCAGGGCUUAAUCAUCCAGUAUUUAGUUAGCUAAACACGCAACCAAGUGAGAAUCAAACACUUUCCAGCAAAAUUCAUACUAAAAUACCCAUACAAUUCCCAAAACAACUCCAUCGGCUAAGCUGGAAAAUUGGUUUAGCAGUCCAGUAACUUCCAAUAAAAAAAAUUCCAGCCAUACAACCGAAUUUCUGGCCAUAAAGUUCACAUGCAACACCAAAUAACAAGUUAUCUAUCAUAUUAGAUCCAAAACCAAGUUCGAAUGUCAUCAAAAUCACCAUCUUACCAGAAAUUCAUCCAAACUCUCUCUCGGUUAACAUGCAUGUAAACAGAUUCUAUAUUCCUUCACUUUUCUUGCUUAAACAAGGUUGAUUAACCUCAUGCAAAACGUAAUCAUCUAGCUAUUAAUUAACUAAACACACAACUAAGCUCAGAUCAUCACAAAGUAACAGGUUAAAGCUGAAAUUUCCAGCUCAAGCUCCCGGCAAUUCCAAUUCCUUCACAACCAGAUUUCUUGCAACUCAAUUUUGUCAUCCAACCGCACAACCCUACAUGCAUGCUUAUAAACAACUUCAUCAACCCAUAAUCAACUAGUUUAAUUCCAGAAAUUACCUCAGUUUAAGGCUUAGCUCACACGACAGGCAGCUGCAAAAUUUCUUCCUCUCGGCUAUCCAGAAUUGCAGCCCGCUAGCACUUCCUCUCCCUUGCUCUAGCUUGCGACUAGGAUGGGGACAAUAUAGCUCUCAAUCUCAUCACCAGCUCACUGAUGGAAGGAAAAUGGACGGCUAGUCUCUCUCCUCUCUUUCUAGCUUACGGACAAGAAGGAAAAGGAUGAAAAGCUCAACUCUCUCUCUCGGUCGUUAAUUCCAAAGGCUGGUCACUCACGGCUGAUAGCAGAGAAACAAAUGAAAUGAGGAUAUUGGAGUGAAUGGUAGUUGUUGUAGUGGAGCUGAGUCGGUUUUAUAAUGGCGGAAUUGCUGAAAUGGAUCACGGAGCCGGCAUGCUGAAAUUGUUUGAAAUUGGAGAUGGUUCUAGGAAACUCCAUGGCUGCAUGGUUGAUUUGAAAUGGAGGGAAGGCUAUUUUGGUCUUUUAGCAACUUGUUCGACCUUCCACUUAGGUCCCUCAUUUGUAUACUAACCCCGAGAUUUUUCCUCAAAUGAAAUUCGAUAGCCUACUAGCAUACUCACCUUGCAAAACUCAAUUAUCGAAAUACAACGUCCUACGUAUAAAUAUAAAAAGUUUUGGCUUUAAAACGAUUUGCCUUAAUUCUAGUUCCCGUUAACACUUAAUGUUAUUAAUACUUAAAAUUAGUUAUUGCAAUCAAAGAAUUAAAAUAAAAAUAAUGACACACUCAACGUCAAGAAUUAUUAACUUAACUUGGCCAAAAAAAAAUUCAAAUAGAUCUAUUAUUUUGUACAAUUGGAUUAUUUGACCUAAAACAAAUUAUUUUUACACACUUAUUUAAGAUCAAAUAAUAAUAAAAUUUAUUAAAAAUCUAAAAUGCACAUGCAACACGUACAUGUAUGUAUAUAUGUAUAUUUAUGAUUUCAAGGUUCUCACAUCCUCCCCUCCUUAAAAUGAAUUUUGUCCUUAAAAUUCUCACCUUCUAUAGAAAUAGAUCGGGGUACUUUCUCUGCAUUUCCUCUUCUAAUUCCCAAGUUGCCUCCUCUAAACCAUGAUUUCUCCAUAGAAUCUUUAUCAAAGGAAUUUUCUUAUUUCUCAAUUCCCUCACUUCUCUUUCCAAAAUCUUAACUGGUCCUUCCUCAUAAGUUAAUGAUUCAUCCACUUCAAUUCCUUCCAAUUGCAACACAUGGCUUGGAUCAGGGUGAUAUUUCCUAAGCAUAGAGACAUUAAAUACAUUGUGAAUCUUGGCCAUGCUCAAAGGCAAUUGCAGUUGAUACGCCACCUUUCCGAUUCGUCUCAAGAUUUCAAAAGGUCCAAUAUACCACGGCUUUAACUUUUUACCCUUUUUGGACCCUACUCCGCCCUUCACGGGUUUAAUCCUUAGGAAAACUUUGUCUCCUACUUCAAACUCCAAAUCUUUCUUCCGAGUAUCUCAAGGCUUCAAAAUGUUAUCAUAUUUUCCUACUAAUUUUCAGCUGCUUUCGGAUCAAAGCCCCGAAAAACUUGGGUAGAUGAACUUUUAAUAUGUUUCUAGGGCUUGUCCUCCCCUACAUUCCGUUUUCUACGUGGAUUACAGUCCCACUUGGUCCUGUUGGGUGCUAUAAACUCUAAAAGGUCAGUCAUCCGGUUCAAAGCAGUGGCUACUGAGUCACCUAUAUGGGUUCCUUGUCCCUGGUUCUGGUUGACCGCAGAUCCCCGUUGUUCCUCUUGCUCUUGGAGUUGUCUCGGUUUAUGGCUCUGUCGUCGUGACUCGGCUUCCAUAUCUCUUUCACAAGGUUCCAACUUUCACAAGUUUCCACGGCUAAACUUUACAUAAUAUCAGAAAUAAACAUUUCCAUGCAUUUCCUAUAAUAUUCUUCCAUUUUUUUCCCAUUGAUAACAACCUGCAAUUUCAGUUGAUCAUCAUUCAGCUCUCACAGCUUCAGUCAAGGAUCAUUUGAGCUUCAAACCAGAAAUUUCCCUCAGUUGAAGCUCACUUUCCUCUGCUAAAACUCAACUUGCAGCUUAAACAUAUACUCAGCUGCACUCAGUAUAUAAGUGUUAUUCACGAAACUUACCUCUUGCCUUAAGUGUUAGGAAUCGCAGAUGAAAUCAGUUUCCUUUCCGACUUUGUUCCCUCCAAUCCUUGGUUAGUUGAUGACGAAGCUCACUAGGCUCUCUCUCUCUGUUUCUCUCGGUGUUGGCCUGGUAAAGAGACGAACUAAAGUUUUAUUUUGUUCUCAACCACCGCCCAAACUUUAGCAGAUAGUUUUCUGCUUUUCCUUUCGGUAACCGCUUGUAUUUAACAGACCAUUGGCUUGGAAUUUUCCUUUGGUUUCUCUCAAGCACCGCCCAAGCUUGUUUAGCAUUUGCUUGCCUUACUUCCACUCGGUUCUAGAUUCUCUAAAUGUUUGUCCUUUCCAUAUUUUACCUUCCAUUUCCACAUCACUUCGUCUAAUCAUUCAUGUUUACCACAAAACCUUACCCAAAGGAAUUUGGUCUUAGUGUUUUCCCUCCGUAAUUUAUGUGUCGUCUCGACUACUUCCCAAAGUAUAUAAAAAUUCAACUACUUGGAUUUACAAUUUAUCUGCGCGUUAUACUCAAUUAAACAAUCUUCACCUAAUAUAGCAUUAUAAACCUGACAUUAUCGCUCCCUAAGCUCUAUAUUUCUCACAACGAGUUGAUUUACAAUAUGUAAUAACCAAUUAUGCAUGCAUACAAUUGCAGUUAAUUUCACUCCAUAUAUAUCAUUAAUACAAAGCAAAUUUAUGAUCAAUUUAAUUACACCACAGAACAAAGUCAAUCAAAGCAUAUAUCAAACUCAAGUACACUUUAAUAAGAAGUCAAACAAGUCUUUUUAAAUGCAUUCGACUUUUGGUAAGAAGUUUAACAUUUGUUAUUUGGGACGUUUGAUCAAGAAAAAUCAUUUAACCCCACAAAUCACUUUUGAGAAUAAAAAUGCUUUUAAAAAAACUAUAAGCAGACAUGCAGGUUCGUAUUUACUUAAACUUUGGUCCAACGCCUCUACUCUUCGCACCUAAUCUGAGAAUUAGCUUUUAUGCCACAUAAAACUUAACUAUUUACUCUCCAAUUCACGACCAAUAUUCAUUCUUAGAUAUAAGAAAAGUUCAAAUAUUCGUAAAAGUUUAAAACAUGCCUAUAGGGCCAAUCACAAGAUAUAUGUAAAGUAAUUCUUAGGUUCACAAGGGAGAACCUUACUAGUUACUCAACUAGGUCAAUUCAUCAUAAUACCAGUAGAUCUCAUCUCCUCGUUCAGUUUCGACUUAGAUCGAGUACUAGGAUCCCAUUAGUUUAUACAAGACUAUCUAUCAAUCUUUCUUUCUAUUAUCUGUAUAACUCUUCUAACGGUUUCGAACCAUUAAUAUCCUUUGACGAGUUAAUCCUAACUUUUUCUCGUGUCUCUUUUCAAGUUCAAUUCGGAUCAAUAUUUUCAAAUUUAAGGCUGUAAGGUUUAAAAGGACACUUUUAUUUCAAACUAAAAUUGUCUGUAUUAUUUUUUUUUUAUGAACAAGAUCAUACAAAAGGAAGAACAAUCAACCAAAAUAAGAGCAUGUCAUUGCAUGAGUCGAUAAUGAAAAUAAAACUUUGCGUGUGUACUACCAAACAAGUUAACAAACCAACAUAAUCAAGUACAGAAUUUAUAGCAUUCCAAUACUUCAAAAGGGAACCAAUAUCAUGCUUAACAAAAUAUACAGGCCAAAACACAAGCAUCACCCCAACUAUCAUAAACAAAAGGUAUAAAAGGUCGUGCUCAAUAGUCUAGUUUGCAACUGAGCGAGAGGGCUACAUCAACUAUCUUUUCAAUUAAAGUUCUGCAUUCCAUCGUAAAUUAUAGAUCUACUACGUCUAAUAUCCAAUCAAAGAGUAUGAUCAUUACAUAUGUACAUCAAUGGCUCUUGAGUAUUCCCAACGAUCUCAAACAUUUCAUAUAAUAGCUCCAAAUAAUCCUCCAACAAAAUUUAAGGAGCCAAAUGCCAUCGAGAACUCACCUCAAUUUUGAAAACUCUCCUCAAGGUUUAGAGCUAUUCACAACUGCAUAGUUCUUACUUAAACUACGAUUUCACUCAAUUUCUAUGUCUAAACCAAUAUUUUAGGUAAAAGAUGGCAUAUAUUCCAUUUACCACUGGAUGACUAGUAAAAUUAUUCAUCUUAAAUACAGAAUUGGCACUAAUCUUCAAAAUCUCACUAUUGACUCUUCACCUUUAACUUUCAAAAGCUAGGCUUGGUCCUUUCGAUUCACUUUCCCAAAUUUAAUCAUGCUUUCUAGUCACAUCAUAAUGCAACAUACUGAAUUCUUCCCAAUUUGCAAAUACACCAUUGAAUGAAAUAUCUGGUAUUCGGGUACAAGAAUCUGACAAUAGGAUAAUUCACACCUCAGGCUGGCCAGUCCCAAGAGUAACUUACCUAUAUCUGAGAUUCCUACCCAACAUACAUAUCUAAUAUCCCCAACUAUAGACUUUUGUUCCACACUUAACAAGCCAAUCCCACAGUCCGAGAAUCCUCUCCCGGUACGAGCUCGAUAAGAGCUCUGAUACCACCUGUGACAGCCCCACUUCUCCCUAAGGCGAACCAGAGGGUUGGCGGGUCGCCUGCCUAACUCUCGCCAGGACUCACGCAAGCAAACCGACUAAAAAUCCACAUAACUUAAAACCAAAACACAAUUCGUCAUCUGGACAUGCCAAACUUUUUAACGACUGAAGUACUAUUACACCUUAACUUCAGAGAUAACAUUACCAAUGAACGAAAAAUGAAGGAAAAGUGGCGGUGUGGGCUUGCGGCGGCAGACGAACGAAAAAAGAGAAGAAAAAGUGGAAAACAGGGGAACAGCGGAGAAGAAGAAGAAAAGGAAAGGAAAGAAAGAAAAGAAAGAAAGAAAGAAAAAAAAAAGAAAAAGAAAAGAAAAUAAAUUGGUUUUGGGGGUUUUUUUUUUUCCAAUGUUUUUUCCAAUUUUUUCUGGAUUUAAAUUUUCAAAAUUAGAAUUUUUGAAGAAAAAGAAAAAAAUGGUUUUUUUCUUUUUUUUUUUUCUUUUUGAAUUUUCUCAAUGUGAAAUUUUUAAUUUUUUUUUUGGGGGUUUUGGGUCGUUAAACACAGCGUUGGUACGCCAAGAUUAUAAAACGUCCACUGACCUCAGGAGUCAUUAACAUGGUGUAGGCCCGCCAAGAUUGCAUUUCCUGCCAAGACACCCACUAACCUCAGGAGUCACAAACACCGCGUGGGCACGCCAAAAUUGCUGUUCUGACCACAGUGGAGGAAAACAUUAAGACCGACCACAACCUAAAUAAGAAACGACAUAAUUAAAGAAUUUAACAACGAAAAACAAUAAAAUCAAUAUUUGGGUUGUCUCCCAAAAAGCGCCUUUUUUUAAUGUCUUUGGCUAGACAUUGUCAUCUUUGCUCAGGGAGGAUAAAAUCUUGUGGCUCGUUUCAAUGCUUCAUCCUUUAUAUAGUCCUGAUAACCCUCGUAAAUAGAGUAAUCCUUGAGCACACGAGUUACGGUUUUCCUUGGACUAGUAGAUGGCGCCAAAUAAUCAAGCAGUGAUCUCAAUUCUUCAUCCACUCCUCCAUCAAGAGCACUCAACGGUUCAAGAUAUUUGACCAUAGCUACUCUUAACUUAUUUCUGCCAUGAGACUCAAAAACUUCCGGUAUAACAAAAUCAAUCUCAUUAGCAGAAAUCAUAGAGUAAGAGUUAGGAAAAUGCGGGUUAGGGAAUGGAGGUGGUGUCACCACAUUUGAUGAUUCUUCACUGGAUUCUUUCACUUGAAUGGGUUGCGGUUGGGGUUCCAUUUCUUCCUUUUCGGCUUCUUUUUCAACUGCAUCUGUAGAUCUCUCAUUUUGACACUCUUGCAUCUCCUCAUCACUAGUCAAGCAAAUUGCACUCUCAUUUUCUUCAAAAUCAACAAUGAUUUUCGAGGGCAAUUCUUCAAUUUGAGAAGCCAAUCGAUUUAUUUUGGAUGUCAAUAGACAUAUUUGAUCUGCCAGAUUACUCAUUGCAUCCUUCAUCAUCCCAUUUCUCAUUUCUGUCUCCUGUUGGAAUUGAUAUGUAUUAGUAGCUAUUGAUUCAACUAUUUCUUCAAGAGACAUACCCGACAUAGAUGAUGAUUCUUGAGACUCAUACUGCUGAAAAUUCAUUGGCCCUGUUGUAUAAUUAUAACUGGAGUUAUCCCACCAUCCUUGAUCAUACCCGUUUGGAUUAGGGUUAUACCACAUUUGAGACCAGGGUGAAAAAUCUCCAUAAUUAUUGAUUGGGACACUCAGAUUAUCUUGAUAUUCGGGGCACAUACCGGUUGAAUGAUCCCUGGCAUAACAAAUUUUACAGGUUGCAGCAGCCAUUUUUUCUCUAAUAGAGUUUAGUGCCUCUGAAUACACAAACUUAGCAAAAAAAUAAGCCUCAUUGCCUUCCCUGGAAACAAAAUCCAGUCUAUCACCAAAAUACGGAGUGUUAGAAGCCAUAAACUAUAUAAAAAAAUAAGAGAAAAAUAAAUAAAAAAAUAAGAAAAAGAUGAAUUCAAAAAGAAACAAAUUAAUCUGGCACCAGUCCCCGGCAGCGGCGCCAAAAAUUGACAGGGUGUCGAGCCUGUGCAAUAAUAAUUACCUACUCAAGAAAAAUACAAAUUUUGUAUAUACAGUGAGCAGGGUCGAAUCCACAGAGAUUGGGGAUAAUUCAUUUCUUUUAAAGUCCAAAGUAUGGGGGGUUUUUUGGAGAAUAUAAAAUAACUAAUUAACUAACUAAUAAAACAACUAAUAGAAAUAAAUAGAAAUUAAUCAAUAACCAAUAUGACUCUAGCCAAAGGUGCAACUUUUCAGACACGGUCCAUUCAACUGAUCAUCGAUGCAAAGAUAAUUCAAUUACUCAUUAAUAGAUUGGUUAUAGUUGUCAUACACGCGAUGAACAACCUGCCUUUCCUUAAUUUCUCGAUAGUUGAGGUACGACCGUUAACUAUUUCUCUAAUCAAGAAAUAACCCUAGGUACGAUCGUAGGAUUUAAUUUCCCAAUUGCAUUAAGAUCUAGAAAAACCCAACCCUAACCAACAAACACGCUACGAGGGUUUGUUUGAGUUAGAUCAUACGUUUCCCUAACAUGAAACCAAUCACGCUAGGCGCCACUGGUAUUAAUCAAUUAAACAAUUACGGAUUCAAUCAAUUAAUAUGACAGUAGAUUAUUAGGUUAAUUCGAACAUCGGGCCCUUGACAUUCAAAUAACAAAACAAUCAUAAGCAAUUAAAUCAGGAAACGUACAAAUACCAAUAAAUAAAAGAAAUAAGUAAAAUAAUUAGAUCUCACAGAUGUUCGAAACCGAGUUCUCAAGUUGACCUUCGACUAGAAAAAAUGAAUUAGUUCAUCUUCAUGGAGGAAAUCCCAUGCAAAAUUGCCGAAGUCCUUGCGGCCCUUGUCACCAAAAUUGAGAUAAGAAGAAAACGAUAAAGUAAGAACAACGGAAAAACUCCCAAUUCCCCAAAGAUAAAGCCGCGGCCAAAGGAAAAGAAUUGUCUCCUAAUCUAAAACAAAUUGCUUCACUUCUCUCCGUGGUCCCGCCGGAUAAGGAACAAAACCAAUCCUCUGUACGUUUGUUUCCUUUUAAGUCCAAUGACUAAUGCCUUUCUUUUCUCCGUGGUCCCCACACAAUUGAGAGCAAAAGUCCUCCCAAAGCUUCCUGCACCAACCGAGGCUUUCCUUCUUGUUUUGUUUCCUAUUUUACUUGUAGGACUCCAAUCUCCUAAUCAGCAAAGGAAAUGCAAUCUCUUUGUAGCACCAUGUGGGCCCGAUUGUUUGAAAUCUCAAUUAUCUCCAAAAAGUCUCAUUUUUUGUAGUUUUCUGUUCCAUUCCCUGAAAUUAAGUCCAGAUACCAAAUAUAAGUAAAUAUUACUAAUUAAAACAAUAUUUGGCAAGGACAAAGGGGAAAUUAACAAUAAAAUUACUAACAAUUAACACCCUAUCCGAAUGUUGGUUGAAGAUAUCAAGCUGUUAAAACAAAAAUUCAGCAAGUAUUGCUUUUCUUUCAUUUGAAGGGAAGGAAAUGUUGUUAGUCAUAGCUUGGCAAGAUUUGCCUUGAACCUAGUAAAGGAUAUUUACUGGAAGGUAUCCUUCCCUCUCUGGUUAACUAGAUUAGCUAGAGAAGAUUAGAAGCAGUUGCUCCAAACUUGUAAGCAAACUAUCUAAAUUUGUUAUGGGUGAUAUAUGAUAUGUUGUUUACGUUUGAAAAAAAAUGAGGCAUCAAACAUCUUUUAUUUUAUUAAUUUUGAAAUUUUUUAAAAUGUUAAUUUUUUUUUAAUUUUGGAAACUAGGGGCUAUGUGUACUAGGCCUGCUGAUGACUCGAGCAACUCACGAGCAGUUUGGGUUAAAGCUUGGCUCGAGCUCGGUCAACACAAGCUCGAGCCGAGCUCAAGCCGUUCUUUAAAACAAAGGAGUCGAGCACGAGCCUUUAUUUCUUAGGCUCGAUAGCUCGAUGAGCUGCUCGAUAGACUCAAGUAAAAUACACUUACAUCAAUUAAAAUUUACAACUUCUUCUAUUUCUCACUUUCUCUAUUAGGUUAUCUAAUUCCGAAUUCCUCACUUCCUCCAUCCAAUCGAAGUUUUGAACUUCUUUCUCUGCCGACUGUCCCAACUCUCAAACUCCCAAUUCCCACUUCCGCCACCGCUAUCUCUGCUAGCUCCAUCUCCAAGCUCUUUUUUCGGUGCAACCCACUAAGCCCACCUCCACCACUCCCUACUAUGUCUAACAUCCUCAGAUCAGUCCACUGCCGACACUUGACUGCUACUGAGCUUGAGAAGCCUGAGUCACUGGCCCGAGAUCAUUUCAGCUAAUGGUCAAAACCCAAACAAAGUCUUCACACUCACUCAACCCUAUCUUACAUUGAAAAGUUGCAGUUACUCCACAACAACAUAACACUUUCUGCAGCCAUAGCUAGGCUUAGAUCUUCUCCUAAAGAGAAAAUCAAUUUUCUCCCUAGAUUUUGCAGGUAUGUACUUAGCUUCUUUUUUUUCCUUUUCUUUUUUCUUUCUUCCCCAGCUCUCUCCUUUCAAAGCUUUUUCUAGCGAAAAUUCUUUUUUUUCAUGAACAAGUUUUCUGUAGCUUAUUAUUCUCAGACAAAAAGGAAAAAAACUCAUAGCUCUCAUUUUUUCUUUGUUUUCUUUCUAUUUCUUUCCAGUUAAAAAACUACCCUUUGCAGGGUAAAACAAUCCUAAGAAGAAACUAGAUUUGGUUGUCGUUAAUUUAUUGUUGUAUAUUGUUCUUCUUCAUACUUCACCUUUAGCCAUUAUUUACUGUAAUCUUCUCUUUUAGAUCUCCAUCAUUAUCUGAAUGCAAAUAUAUGAAUUUUGUAUAUAUGUCUUCCCUAGUUAUGAAGUUGUUGUCUAUCAUAUUCAUAAGUUCUUGUCUCAUGCUCAAUAUUUUUGUCUACGUGAAACUAUUCAAUUUUAUGCUAGCUGAAAAUUUUUUUGUUUGUUUAUCUUCCAUAGCGUACAACAUAGAUGCAUCUAAUACAAGUACUUUAUCUACUUAAGCAUAUGAUGUAAUUGAUAAUUUCUAAAGCAAUUGAUGAUGUCUAGGUCUUUGAAUAAGCAUCUACAGUAAUAAUUGUGGCAUUUAACACCAUCUUGCAUAAGAACAUAACAAGAAACUCUCAUGCAAUUGGUAGUCAGAGAGGCCUUUAACUCGUGUAGUUUUGCUUUACUAUGAUGAUUGAUGGGCUCCGUGCAGAUGCAUCUGAAUUCUGACUUGCCUGAAAUGUCUCAGACAAAUGGCUCCAAGGACCUUGGCUUUAGAAGCUAAGUAUUAUAACUAGAUAUUAAUUUUAAUUAGGGAUAGGUAGUAUUUUUUAUCAUUAGUUUAUCUAUUACUAGUAGUAGCUAAGUUUAUUCAAGCACUUAACACUUAUUAAGAUUAGAACUGGUAUUUAUAGUAUAUAAUCAAGUUGUCCUAACUCACAUGCCACAUUUUCGUGUGAAUAUCACUCUUUUAAAGUGGGAAAGAAAAUGAUAGACUUGGAUUGGCUAGCCCAAUAGCUGUCUUUCCUAGAGUAUUAUUGGUUAAAAUUUAGGCAUCCAACAAGGGCAACAAGCUAUUGUGUAAUACUUAGCAUAUGGAUUUGAGCAUAAUUUGAUGGACACUUUUAUUGUUAUUUCUCCACGAAUUCUGAUGUUGGGAUAAGCUUUUCCAAGUAUUGUUAAUUCUUUUCAUUCUUUAUAACUAUGGUGAGUAUUGCUUUUUUAAAAGCAUGGACUAGUAUGAAAUUAAUAGUUAAGUAUUUGGUUAUUGUUUCAUGUGGAUUCAACAAUUUUUUUCCUUGAGAACUAAAAAAUCUGUUAUCUGAAAUUGAAAGUUUGCAAGUUCUAUAUUACAAUUAGAACUUGUAAGUGUUUUUGUUGUUUCCUUCUCACCUAGUGCCCUACAUCUGUAGUUCUAUAUCAUCUAUUGAAGUUAUGAACAUUUUAGAGGUUUCUGCUAAUAAUAUACAUAGACUAAUUUCGGGACUAAAAGAAUGCUGCUCAUGUCCUUUUUUUGUUUUUUGCUUUUGGUAUAGCUAAAAGAAAUUAAGAAUAUAAGAUGGAUACGUCCAAUCAAGAGCAGUCUUCACCAAUUAUUAGAUCAGUUGGUGAUUCUACUAGUCCGGUGAAUAUCACUGACAAAGGUAUUGCUGUUAACGUUGACAAAAAGUUGGAAUUCUCUCUUGAAGAUGAAGAAUUAGGGAGUGAAGAUGAAGCCAUUAGAAGGUGAUACAUAUACAACCACUUGAACAACCAAUCAAGAGGCUGCUACAGAUGAUGGCUUGGACGUUUUUUGGAAAAAAAAAAGGAUUAAAAAAUCAUUAGCAUGGGAUGACUUCAAAGAUGUUGAAAUUGGCCCUCAAAAAACUCUUAUGUCGGCGUGUAUUCAUUACCAUGCAAAAUUCAAGAAGAUGAAAACUAGUACGACUUCAAGUUUACUAAGGCAUAGGAAGACAAUUAAUGGAUAAAACUCUAGCCAAGAUUACACUUCAGAGAUGGUUCAUGUAACAGAUCAUUGAUGCAGUUAUAAUUCCAAUAUUCUUUAACAAACAAGUUUUUAACUGCUGAUACGAUCUAACAGUCAAUUUCUCCUUACUGUUCGAUGACUAAGAUACGACCAUUGACUAUUACCCUAAUUUAGAAAUAAUCCUAGGUACUACCAUAGGAUUUAAUUCCUCAAUUGCAUUAGAAACUAGAGAAACCCUGUUCUAAUCAAUAAACAUGCUACGAGAGUUUAUUUAAAUUAGAUUGUACGUUUUCCCGACACAAACCUAAUUAUACUAGUUGCUACCAGGAUUAUAAUAGUCAAACAAUUACGGAUUCAACUAUUCCAGUUAGCAAAUAGAUUGUGUGUAUAAUUAAAUAUUGCGCACCUAUUGAAUCACACACACUAAUCAUACUCUAUAAAGCAGAAAACGUACAAAUACCAAAGAAUAGAGGAGAUAAUAAAAUCAAUUAGAUCUUACAAUGAUAGCUGAACCAAAUCCUUGGUGUUCCUUAACUAGCAAUAUGAAAUUAGUUCUCCAUUAAUGGAGAACAAGCCAUGCCAAAAAAAUCUGUUCAAAGCUUUCAAUCUAUUCAAACCUUCUCCAAAAAUCAGCCAAAAGGAAAAAGAACACGAACACUAUGUUUUCGAUCUCAAGCCAAAGAUCCUCUCUACUGAAUUCUACUUGGCUAACUUCUUAAUUGAUUGGUCUCCUGCUACCCAUCAAAUUCCUAAAAAGUCCUAUUUCAAUUUAGUUUCCUAAAAGCUCUCCAAUUGCUUGAGACUAACGUGGAUUGCCAAGGAAUAGGAAACUUUAGCAGUCGUCAAUUUUUGGAAUUUGACUUGGAUUGGGAAGGUGUCCGACGUUAGGAAAUUGCCAAUUUCUAGUUUUGAACCUUGAACUUCGGCGUCCUAUGUGCAAAUCGUUAGGAAUCCUCCAAUUAAGCCUUUUUCGCUCCAAUUUUUGAAAUUAAUACAAAAAUACCAAUUGUGGGAAAACAGUCAAAUAAGGUGAUAUCUAGUAUAAAUAAAAAGGAAAAUAUAAGCAAAUAUACCAACUAAAUGUACCCUAUCAGUAUUGAAAGACCACUCAAAUUAUUUUGUGAUAAUGACUCAGCAGUCCUAUAUUCCAAUAAUAACAGGAGUUCGACAAAAUCUAAAUAUAUAGAUAUAAAGUUCCUGACUGUUAAAGAAAGAGUACAGAGUGGACAGAAAUCAAUAGAGCAUAUCGGGACAAACUCCAUGGUUACGGAUCCGCUAAUUAAGGGAUUAUCACCCAAAAUGUUUCAUGAGUAUACUAUUCAUAUGGGUAUCAUGUUAUUAAAUGAUGUACAGUUUUAGUAGGAGUUUGUUAUUUUGAAAUGCUCUUGCGAUAUUAUAUUUUUGGUUAUUAUUGUUUUAAGGAUAUUUUAUGCAUAAAUAAAGUUUGAAUUCAUUUACAUUCUGAUUUUGGUAUGAAUUGAUCUCAUGAAAAUUUAAGAUGGACCAUUGGAAAUAGUCAUAUUACGAUUAUAUGACAUGAAAUUUUUAUACUACACAUCCACAUUAUGAUUCAUAUCAUUCAAUUGCAUCAAUAUAUGUGACCAUUAAUGGGUCGAGUUACGAAAAUUGUAGCAAAGGCCGCUUUGAUCCUAUGUUGGUGUAAUUGAUGGACCGAAUUGGCUAUAGAUACAUUUUAGUAAUAACAGUAAAGUUGAGCUCAUGCAGUUUAUUGCAAAACAUAAUUAUAAGGUUACACAUAUAGUCCAAAUGGGAGAUUAUUGGAUCCUUAAUCCAACAUUGGACCUAUAUGUGAAUAAUUAUGUGAUGCAAUUGUCAAAUAAGACUAAGUCCAAUUAAAGUGAUCAAAUAUGAUUUGAGCUUAAUAUAUCUAACAGGAUGUGGGUCUUUAAUGUAUAGAGAUUUAAGAGUAUUUUCUAUUUCUAUGAUAGUCUGAAAUAGGAAUCCAAAAGGUAACAGGAAUGUUAUCUAUAAAUAGGGUUAUGGUCCCCAGAUCAUAAGUAUUCUUAUUGUCGUAUUUUCUAGUGCAAACAAAAUAACUCUUUCCUGAUAUCCCAUUGUCAGGAAAGAUACCAAAGAGAAAUUAAAGGACUCUCUCAAUGAUUGGAAAAUAUGUGUUGACCUGGAAAGUCACCCCAAAAUCUUUUGGGAUUCAAGCACUAAUUUGUCAACAUGAAUCAAGGUAUGCUUUCACAAUUUUUCUGUUAAUUUAUUUCUUAAUAAUCGCCAUCUAGAUUUUGAUAGGUGAUGGUUUUCACCAAAAGUUAAAUAUAAACAUCCACCCUAACAGUCAUGCAUUUUUUUUAUCUGUGUAUGAGGUGAUGUAAUGCAAUGAGCUCUAAUUUUCUUAGAAGUCCAUUUCUCAAUUAUUUGCUCCAUUAUUGGACAUGAUAGAUCUAACUUCAUUUUGGGUAUGAUUUGCUACAGAGGAUGUUACCAAAUCUGUUUGUCCCUACAAAUGUAUAUCUAAUAGGUACAGAAUGCCCAACUGCCAUACCCCUUUUGAAGAGUUGAUACAUACUCUUGAAGUUCCCUGGCCAUUCUCACUCUUAUCAGCGUGUCUUGCACUCCUUCUAGCUCUAGUAUUGAGCACUUUGAGGAUCAAAUUGGUUGGGUUGGGAUGUUCAUAUAUCAAUGUGAAUUCAACUGAGCUCCAAAAUCAUCAUCAUUCUCCUUAUCUUCUCACUUUAUCUGACGUACAGUCUUCAUUAACUUUUUGGUUCUAGGAUGCAUCUAUGUGGUAUUGCCAAAUUGGCAAUUUUUAUUUUUAUAGUAAUUUAUUUGCGUAACAUCUAGGUCUGUGGUACCAGAGCCGAAGAAACUCAGAGCCAUGUCCACAUGAUGUACUUUUAUGGGUUCCAAUACUUUUAGAUAACCGUAUAAUCUCCCUAUUGGCCUCCCAAUGCAAUUGUCGAGAUUGUGUAAACAUUCACAUGUAAUCUGAAGUUUUUGGGCAAUAGGCAAGGGUUUAGAAGAAAAAACCUUGUUCACCUUGGAACCUUAUGUCUAGGAGUUUAAUUUAUUAGUUCUUUUGUCAUUUUUUAUUACGAGAAAAUUUUGAUUGUUGUACAUAUUUUUCUUUGCCAUUUUAAAAGACUGUGCUUAAGUUUAUGAUUAUUUAGUGUCUUUUGAGUUUUACACCUGAAAGAUAUUAGUCUUUCUUCUUAUUCAUUAAUCUUUAAUCCACAAAGAUACAUAAGUUAAUCUUUACUGAGUCAGAAUUUUGACUUCUUUUCCAAUGAACUGUACUUGGUUGAGGCUCACUUAGCUUCAACUUUCUGGUUUGAUACAGCGAGAAUAUGAGAGAUUUUCUAAACAAAAUUUUACUUCAUUUGCAAAAUUUUCAAAUGUUACUCAUGUGCUAAUGGUGAUUAACAGCAGGUAUGAAGGUGCUUUGAACAGAUUUAUAGACGAGAUCAACUCCAUUGCAGCAUACGAAUGGUAGGAAGGGUCAGUGCAUAGCACAUGCUUGCUUAAUCUUGUUCCUGGUCCCAGAAACAAUGGCGUUGGAGUAAUAAAGUUCACCAUUGUUAGGAGUAUGUUUAGUCUGAGUAUGACCAUUCUUGUAUCUGAUCCUGCACAUCACAAGCAUUAUACAAAGGAAUAAAGGUUUGACUUUGUUACUUAGAGUGAAACUCUUUGGCCCUAUGGAAAUCUGAUCAAAAUUUUGUGGCUCAGGAAUUUGCAGCCUAAUGUUUCUUUUAUGCACUGCAAGACGAUGAUGCUAGUAUGAAUUUGGGGUAUUUAGUUCAAUAGAGUAGAUAUGGCCUAUGAAUUCGGUGUAUUGAAUUAUAAUAGCUUUAAAAAGUUUAUUUAAGCAAUAAAAGUUAUUUAAUUGAGAAUUUUAUCUGCAUAUCAGUAUCCAAUUGCUUGAUUACAUAUUUGCUAAAGUUGUAAAUUAACCAGAGUUGGGCAUUCUCAUGCGUUGCAUUAGGGCUCACACAGAUAUUCUAGUCCAAAGAACAAAGAACCUGAGAUCAUCUACAAAGGUGUUGGAAUUGGAAUAGAAGUUGGAAGAUGAAAAUUUGACGAUUCUACUCUUCAAAUGGGGCCAAUUCCAACCUUCAAGCAGUAAAUUCCAUAGACCUACUUGGAACCAUUUUUGCUAUCUCAAUGGAAUUUCCAUAGAACUACUUUCUGCAAGAAUAUGAAAUACUUACUUCAAGUGUAUUGACAUUAUAUUCACACUUUCGAGUGUAUAUCCAUUUGCACAAAUUCAAAGAAAGAAUUAAGAAAUCCAAAACCAUUAUACUCAAUGUCAUUUAACAUUGCACUUAAUUGCAACUUUAAAAUUCAUACUCACAAGUUGCAAAAAUAACAUGGUACCACAUGAAAUUCUACACAUUCUUUUUUUUCGUUAUUCACAAUAAAAAUCCAUAUUAUUGAGAAUCUUCAAUAAUAUAUCAGAUUCUUUGCAUUAAUUUUUAGCAAAAGAAAAAAAACCCCCACUAUUUUAGUGCAUUAAUGAUACACAACUAAACACACAUCACAUUCAAAGAUCAAGUUCUUUGCAUAUUAGCAUAGAAAUUACUAUGAAACCCCACUAUUUGUCACAACUUUAUAACAUGCAAUGGAGUAUAUAUCUAUUGCGAUUAGAGUAAAUGACCCAAUUAAUCAUACCCACUGGAAGUUUACUUUUACUUGUUAAGAAGGCACCUUUAAAAAUUUCUUUCAAAAUGCAUGGUAGCAACUUGUCUAGUGCAGCAACAAGUUGUAAUUGUUCAGCAAUUUGAACUCUUUCGGAUCUACUUCUCUAGUGCCAUAUUUUCCUAUUAAGCCUUCCAAGACUUUUGGUAGUAGGACAAGAAGUUUCAUAGAAACUAUAAAAGUCAUUAUAAUACUAGUAAUGGAAUUCAACAACUUCCCUUUUUCUUAAAUUUUUCUUCAUAAGCAUUCUUUUAUUGUUAACAUGUUUCAUUAGUUGAGAUCUUCUCAUUUUUCGUCCAUAGGUAGGCUACUCAAGUCAAGUGACUUGUAAGUUGAACUCCAUCUUGUUCUGAAUCACUUUAAAAUUGUUGCUCUGCUAGAACAAUUAGACAAAUGUCAAAUAGAAAAAUUAACUAUGGUUAUAAUAAUAAUAAUAAUUAUUAUAACAAUAAUAAAAUUAACUAUAAUAAAAUAGUCAAAAUAAUAAUAUAAUAAUGCACAAAUGUAAUAGGUUGAGGUAAGGAUAUUUCGCUUUCUUUAAGAUGAUUCAAAUCUCUGCAAAAGAAUCAAUUUCGGUGUCGUAGAAUCUUCGGCUUGUCACUCCCAGGAUACAACAGUCUAACGACACUUACUGUUACUCUCAUUAGUCUGUACAACUGAGAGAGUAUUACUCUACAAACACUUUUUUUUUUUGCCAGUCUAUGAGAUAGAAAAUAACAAAAGAGUAGAUAUUUUCUCUCAUGAAUUGUGGCUCAAAAAACAUAAGUUAUUAUAGCAUCUCUUUCUAUCUCAACAACGCAUAUUUAUAGAUCAAGAAAAAUUAGCCAAACAUAACCUAAACUAAUAAUAUGCUAAGUAGAUGCUGAAAAUUAUUGGCUAUUCAAGACACAUUCUAAUUUGAAUUGUAGGUUACAAAAUUUAUUGUAAUUGAAAAGCCAUAAUUUUAUAUAAUAAAUCUUUAGUCAAAAAUCAUUCAAACACCAAUAAAUUUCAAAAAUAUUCACCAAUUUAUUCUCCUUAUAACUUACACAUCUAAUUGAGAAUUUAACAAUUUUAUUAAAAUAUUUUAACACCUUAUAUAAAUAAUCUAGAAAAUUUUGGGUUAGUUCCAUAAAAACAUGAAAUUAUUUCCAUAAACUAUGGGAGAUCUUUUAGCCACAAGCAAGUUAUGAAUUAACCAUAUUUUAUUUUCAGCUGUAAAGCACAUAUGUUCAACUUCUAAUCGAUUACUUAAACUUAACUUCACUUCUAUACUUUCACAGAUGCUAUUCCUAUAAAAGACUCUUACACUCAUUCAGAGAAGUCCAAAAUGCAAGUUGUUUUUGUAAUUUGUCAUCCUGGAUUAGAUCUAUUAAAGGGGCCAAUUGUAGUGUGGUAAAUUAUGACCAUCCCCCACUUCGUGUCCACCAAAUUAUGAGGUGUGGCCCAAGAGUUUAUUUUUAUUCUUUUAUUUUUUUUAUGUCAAUUACUUCUGUAGAGCUUGAAAGUUCUUUGAUGGAGACUUGGAAGCAUGUUCUUAAUACAGGCAAAAAAUAGUUAGAUUUUGGUGAUUUUGAGGUCAUUCAUGUUUUUUAAAACAUAGAUGCAUCAGUAAUUUCACCCGCACCCGUUGUACAUCAAUUUUUUUUACGGCAAUAAUAUUUUUAUAAUUUAAUUUAUCCUAAUUUAGAGGAAAGAGAAAUCUAAAGAGAUUAUAUAUUAAGGGCCAGUAUCUCCACCAACAAGUAAAAGAUGGAUUUAGUUUUUUUUUGUUAACUGCUGAGGCAAAGGCGCACCUUCUGUGCAUGAACUUGCCGGAGUUUGCUUUGGUGUUUGUGGCUGUGGGGAAGUGAGAAGAAAAACCACGUUAGAGUUUUGGGAGCAACACGUGCAUGGUCUUAACUGAUGCGCUUUGUUAGUUGUCUGGUGCCUGCCAGAAUUAAGCUACGUGUUGUGCUUAAAUGGCACCAGAUUGACAUUCCUACGGUGGGAAGGCCGAUACCAUUCUUACCGUAUACAAUUCCAUGAUAAAUAGGGUCAGGCCACAAAAAUUCCCCCUCCAUCCCAUUGAUAUUGCCAUAUUUUCUUUGUUGGAUUGUUCCAAAUUAUUUGUCAUUUAUAUAAAUUAGUUGAUACAUUUCGAUUUAAUUUCUCCAUUUAGUCAUCUACUCCUUAGACAGUCCGUAAAAGUUCAAAGCAUGUAUUUUUUUUUUUUGAGUCCACAUACUAUUAUCAAGAAAGUAAAACAACAACUGUUGUAGUAUGUAGCAGUUAUCAAGUAAUUAAGACCACAACAACAAUCUAAGAUUUGGUAAAACUUUCAAAUAUCUAAGAUUUUCAACAAAACCUAGGAUUAAACAAAUAUCAAGGCCCCACAAUUCUUUAUGAGCUAGAAACUACAAAUGAAGAUUCAAAUUCUAUCCACUAUUAAUAAAAAUUGCAAUUCUUCAAGUGCGGCAAACUUUAUAAGAUGGAAGGAGCAAUACUUACUGCAUACAUAUACAUGUAUUGUUUCUUGGCUUGAUUUGUCCUCAUAAAUAAGAUCAUUGUAUUGAUUUUGGUGAAGAAAAACAAUUAGUCAAAGCUCAAACCGCAACUAUUAUAACAUCUUCAACAAUUACAAUAGUGUCAAGAAAGACACCACUUAAAAUGUUGUUUAUUAGGACACUUACAAUAUUACAAUGUAGUGAAACUCAACUGGAAGGUAAAAUUACAAUAUGACAGUAAAUUACUGCAUCAUAAAUACGCUUCCGAAAGUACAAGCUUUAUUCGUGCAUGCCCGGCUUAAAAUCUAUUUGUUCUCUGAAAUCUCAAUAUUCAAUCCCCUGGGGAAACAAAUACCAGUAGGUGUCCGAAUUCUCUCUGCUCCGUUGGUAACUCUCCAGUAGGGCUGCAAACGAUUCGAGCCGCUCGCGAGCGGCUCAAGUCAAAGCUCGAGUCGAGUUCGGUCAAAUUCGAGCUCGAGCGGCUCGUUUAUAAAUCGAGUCGAACUCGAGCCAUCCUCUAUUAGGCUCGUUACCUCGUCGAGCCGCUCGACGAGUUUUGUGAAAUUACAAAAAUACCCUUAUUUAUAUAGUUAAUUACUAAGUUAUAACAUGGGAAUUGGGAUGGAAUUCGACUUUGAGUAUCAGACGGAGGCUCGCUCAUAGCAAAAAUUACUUUCCCCAAUUCCAUUUCUUAUUACUUCUCCUCUACCGCAUCUCUGUUUGGUCUUUCCUUCUUUCCUUCACAUCUUCUCAAGCCCUAGCCAUCGCCGCCACCACCCACGAGUGCACCACGCUGACCACAGCCACCACCGCGGCACCGCCACUGCUACCCUUCAGGCCUCAUUCGACUGCAAUUCGACUUCAUUCGAGAGAAACCUUCUUCCUCUCGAAGCAAUUCGACUGCAACUCGCCUUCGUCGUUGGCUCAGCUGUAUUCGGACAGAGGCUUGGCUUCCUCCACAGUGCGUCUUAAGGACUGCUAACCAUCUUUCUUCCUCCAUGGCGCAUCUUAAAGCCCUCAAUUUGAUUUCCAAUUUAAGGUUGGUUCGGGCCGUUCGGCGUUCCUUUCCCUUCGUCUUCCUUUCUCUUGUCUGAAGUUUGUUGCUUCCCUCUAGUUAAUUUAACUGGUAUUUUAGCUGGAGUAGAUGCUGAAAUAACAUUUUUGAGCUCAAAUUAUUGCUUUUUUCUUUUUUUUGCACACCUGCGUGUGUUGUCUACCUUUAGCUCCGAAUCAUUCCUCCUAUGCUUUUAGGAUUUUUUGGUGACAAGGAUACAAUUUUUUUUAUAAUUUUUUAUCUACUGAUUUUCUUAUCUUUUGAUAUAUAGUUUUGGAAAAUAACAUGUAAAAACUAUCUUUUCCUACUUAAAUUGAUUUGCUACUAUGUCUUGCUGUGGCAAAGAUUUUAGCCCAGUUGGGGUAGUGGUGGUGAACUGGUGAUCAUGGGAGUGAUGAAAAAAUCAAACGGAUUCCCAUUUAUCAUUCUCCGUAAGAAUGAUAAAAAACCACCAACUACUUCUGACCCCACAGCACCAGCAUCACCUGUUGCUCAUCUCCUGCCCAGCCAAUCUACAUAAUUAAUGGUUUUUAUGCAUGUUAAGCAGCAUUUUUUUAACUUUCUCGUUUUGAAAUCCGUAUUAGCACUGAACAGAUGACAUGAUGCAUCUGAGUGGAAUGUUUCGGCAAUUUUUCAAAAAUUGAAAGAGAAGGGCCUGUGAUGUGAGAAAUAGAUAUUUGCUACUCUUGAUGGGUAAUUUAUCUACCCACCUGAUGAUUUUCUAUCCACCAAGAUCUUUGAGGCCUGCUGCUCUUUUAAAAUUUGUUUUGCGAAACUUCUGCACCUCAAUUAGCUCUCAAGUAUCCUUGAAUGGGUAAAAUUCCAUAUGCAAUGAAGAUACAAAAUCUUUACCAGGGAAACCUACGUAUACUUCUUCAGAUCAUUAUUUUGUAUCUCACAACAUAUGUAUACUAACAUAACCAGCUGUAGGUUUGUAUCUCACAUAUAAACCCCUGUUUGUAAACUGCUCUGUAUGUAUUUUUUUUAGUUAUUUAUUGGUCCUGUAGGUUUUUCUGGGGUUUUUCAUUGGACUCGUCGGUAGUAUAACCUGAUGAAAAAGCAGGGGCUUGCUGCCGUUUACCGUGAAUGUGUCUCUAGUAAACUUCAGGGAAAUAAAACUUGGCAUUGUUAUUGGGUGAACCUCUUGAGCUCACAAUGUAUCUGAAAUGUUAUUAUUGUGCUAAAAUGUUAGCAUUGUUGAUCAAUGUUAAGUGCUGGAACUAGAGCGCUUUUUUUUUUGCAGUUAAGUGCUAUUUUUUUGGGGCUGGUUAAGUGCUAUUUUUUUUGUUAAUUCUAUGUGUUUUAUAGCAUUGAAUGUUUGAGAGUAAAAGAUGGCUGUCUAAACAUGUUUUGUUAUUUUCCUUUGUUCAUAGUUGGAUCAUAAUAUGGAUAAGUUUGCCGAAGAUGUGUCUUCACAGCUAGGUAGGACUGGUGCAAAUUCCACUAGUCCUAUGAAUAUCAUUGAUACAGAGGGUGGAAAUGACAACGAGAAAGAGUUGGAAUACUCUCUUGGCGAUGAAGAAUUAGGAAGCGAAGAGGAGCAAUUAGAAGGUGAUACACAAGCACCUGUUCAAAGAUCAAACCAAGAUGCUAUUGAAGGUGAUACUUUAGACGCUUUUAAUAAGAAAAAGAGAGCCAGAAAAUCUGAAGCAUGGGAUGAUUUCGAAGAUGUGGAAGUUGGGCCUCAGAAGAAAAUUUACUCAGAGUGUAAGCAUUGCCAGUCUAGAUUCAAAAAGACGAAGAUCGGUACAACUUCAAGUUUAUUAAGGCAUCGGAAAAAUUGUCCAAAACGAUUGGAGAAGCUCAAAAUAAUAGAGGCACACCAACAAAAACUCAAUUUUCCAGCCACUGAUUCUAGCUCAAAUGCUCAUUCCCUCCUUCAUACUGGCAAGUUUGACAUGGCUGCCAUGAGACAAAGCGCAGCUGAGUGGGUGCUUAUGCAUGAGCAUCCCUUUUCAAUUGUGAAGGAAGAUGGCUUCAACUUAAUGAUGAAAAAGGGGAUGCCUGAAUGGCAAAAAAUCAGUCGGACUACCAACAAGAAAGAUUGUCUUUCUGUGUAUGAGAGAGAAAAGCAGAAAUUGAAGCAUUUGUUAAGUAAAGUCAAGAAAAUCAGCUUGACCACAGACCUUUGGAAGUCCAAGAACCAAAAAAUUGAAUACAUGGUUAUAACUGGACAUUGGAUUGACAGCCAGUGGAGAUUACAAAAACGGGUUCUCAACUUUGUGCAUGUUCCCCCUCCACGUCCGGGCAUUGGCAUUGCAGAUGCUAUUUACAAAUGCAUGUUGGAUUGGGGCAUUGAAAGCAAAAUUUAUACAGUGUCAGUUGAUAACGUGUCAAAUAAUGACACCGCACUACGAUGUUUGAAGGACACCUUCUCGAGAAACAAGUGCUUGUUGGCCAAAGGAAAGUUAUUCCAUGUGAGAUGUUGUGCUCACAUACUUAACCUGAUGGUUCAAGAUGGCCUUAGUGAAAUUGAAGAAAUAAGUCAUGACAUAAGGGCAAGUGUAGAGUUUGUAAACAAAACUGAAGGGAGACGAUUGAUCUUUGGUGAAAUUGUACACCAGCUACGAUUGCCUGAAAGAGUGCUGAUUUAUGACUGCAAAACAAGGUGGAAUUCGACCUAUGAGAUGCUAGCUUGUGCUCUCAUGUUCAAUGAGGUGUUUUCGAGAUUCAAAGACAGAGAGCCAAGCUAUACUUUCUGUCCUUCCACAGAAGAUUAGGAAAAGGUAAAAAAGGUGUGCAGUAUUUUAGGAGUUUUUUGAAAUGCGACUCAUAUAAUAUCUGGGAGUGAUUAUCCGACAGCUAAUUUAUAUUUAAAUGAAGUUUGUCGGAUAAAAACGCUUCUAGAUCGCAAAGCAAAUGAUGAAGACAGCUUUAUUCAAGCAAUGGUUUGGAAGAUGAAGAUGAAAUUUGACAAGUAUUGGGGUGAGUGUGACCUAAUGAUGUCCAUAGCAGCCAUCUUGGAUCCUAGGCUCAAGAUGCGAGUUAUCAACUACUUCUUUCCACUGAUAUAUCCUUCACAUUAAGUGCAAACGAAUAUAAAUAAAGUCCGGCAAGCUUUGUAUGAUUUAUAUGCCGAGUAUGUGGAGAUGCAUGUUUCAAGUUCAAAAGAUUCUGGAGGAAGCUCUCAAGUAGUGACAAAUGAACCAGGUAGCAAGAGUAGCAAUAGUUCAUCCUCUACAAUGACACAUGUUACUGGAAUGUGUGAAUUUCUAUCUCACAUUGCUACUGUGGAACCCGUUCAACCAGAGAAAAAUGAGCUAGGUAUCUACUUUGAAGAUGGCCUUCUCAGUGCUACGGAGAAGUCGAGCCUGGAUAUUGUCAACUUAGAUGCUUUGAAAUGGUGGAAAAGCACAACAAAAUACAAGAUUUUGCCUAAGAUAGCUGCAGAUAUUUUAGCCAUUCCUAUUAGCACCGUAGCUUCGGAAGCGACAUUUAGUGCUGGAACUAGAGUGCUUGACUCCUACCGUGCUUCUUUAGCUCCAGAAACUGUAGAGAUGUUGAUGUAUGUUGGGGAUUGGUGUCGUAGGCUACACGGGGUGAAAAAAAGGGAUAAGGUAAUUAUGUUACAAAUUACGUUUUUCAUCUAUUACAAUAUGUUUUAUAGUUGGCUUAAUCUUGGUCUUUAUUAUUUUUGUUUACUAUGCAGAAAAUGAAGUCAGCACAAGAGAUUUCAUUGCCUAUUCCUUGAACUUUUUCAUGUUUUAGGUAAUCUAUAUUCUCAGUUUUUUGGCUGCUGGUUUCUUUAUAUGUGUAUAUGAUUUAUUUGGUGGCUGGUUUCAUUGCAACUAAAAUGGAAGUUAUUUGCCUGAUUUCUUGGCUGUGCAGCAGCUGCAGCUUAUUGGUGCAUUAUUGGCUGUAGGUGCGUUUUUCCACCUACAUUUUCAGUACCAAGAUUGUAAGCUUCCAGUUUGUGCUACUUGUCAAAUUUUCUUUUGAGUUCUAUACGUGUCUGGCUUAGUUGAGUAUUUGCAGAAGCAUGCAAUUAGAAGUAAAAGAAAAUUUUCUCAGCAAAAAGGCGUGUUUUGGCUAAGUUAUUGCUGAAUGUGCAUUUGGUUAUCAGGUGCUGUGGAUUGGUCAAGUUAUUGCUGUUUAUAUCCUUGUUAGGAUAGAAAUGGUGUUAGUAUUGAGUGUGCAUGGUGCUCGUUUGGAUUCUUAGUCUGAUCUAAUUCAUGUCGCAGAUGGUCAAUUUUUUUCAAUGGAGAUUUGCUUAAACAAAAUGAAUUUUUUCGAGAAUUGCGCUUGUUAGUCUUGGUGGCCUGUCCAAAUUUUAACUGUGGCUUCUACAAAAUUAGGAUGAUCAAUAUAAGCUGCUGAUAUGACUGACUAGUUUGCACUCGAAUGUGAAUGAAUUUCUCCUCUAAAUUAUAAGACAGUUGUCCAGUUGCUGUGGAUUGUUUACAAUUUUGAUGCUCAGGUUUUCCUCCCCUCUUUGAGUAAAAUACUUGCUUUAAGUUGUCUAGUUAACUUACAGAGUAGAUUUUCCUCAUUCAACUAGGUACUAGAUUCAGUCCCCUUGAUUAGUUUAGUUAUAUGUUCAGUGAGUACAGGUCUGAAAGAGCAACCAAUGAAUGCUAGUGAUGUUUUUGUAUAGCUCCUUGAUUGGCACUUAUUUAUUUUUGGACGUAUUGAGCAGGUUGGAGCUGGGACUAUGAAUCCUCUGACAUUUCUAAGAAGAGAAGAAGUUCGUGACUUCAAUGACUUCAAUGACUGUGCUUAGUUUGUAAUUUGUAAUUCAAUAAGUUUCUGUAGUAAGAAGUUCUUGGUCUGCUUUUGGUUGUUAUUUACUUAUUAUCUGAUAUUAAAUUUUGUGACCGAGAAUGUUGAACUUGUAUGAAGUGUUGGGCAUUUAAAUUCUAGACUUAUAUGGCAUGUAUUUCUAAAUUUAUGAUUGUAUUUAGUGAAAAAUUUGUAGGCCUUUUUUGAUUAUGAUAAUGUGAAAAAUUAUGGUCAAUUAUAGGCAUGAAUUGUAAGCUAUGAUUAUGCUCAUAAUUUGGUUAGGAAUUAGUUGAUAAAAUGAAUUUUUUUGUUACAUUAAUUCCCAAAAUUCGAGCAAACGAGCCGUUAACGAGUCAAAAAUUCAAGCUCACAAAUCAAGCUGCUCGCGAGCCAAAAAUCGAGCAUCAACUCGCGAGCCUUAACGAGUCGAGCUCGAGCUUAGCUUUUUUUAGUCGAGUCGAGCUCGAGCUCAAAUCUUAUAGGCUCGUUGAGCUCGAGCUCGAACUCGAACUCACCCAUUUUUAAGCCGAGCUCGGCUCGAUAAGUCCAAAACUCAACUCGACUCGGUUCGUUUGCAGCUCUACUCUCCAGCUGAAAAUUCAAAUUAGACAAGCUUUUUUAUCAGUUAUCACUUUCUUCUUGCAAUCAUGCAUAUUAAAAAACCGAAGAAGUUAAGUGGACAUUAAUUUAUACUAUAUAGGAAUUAGCUUCUUCUAUCUGUAUUUAAGUGAAGACGGUGAGAAUUGUGACUUGGAAAUCCUUACGUGUAUUUUGUGACCAAGUAAUGCAGAAAAAUUGACAUCUGCACCUUUGCAUAGUCAGCACCAACGCAAAGCCUCGUACCACCAGCAAAUGCCAUGAAAUUUUUUGAUCCCGCGUGUAAUUCUUUGCCCUUUUGAUUGAAAAAACAGCAGAAAAACCCUGAAUCAUUUUUACUUGAUUUUGUUUAACUUUUGUUUUGUAAGUUUAUCUUUCUUGUGUGCAUAUAUUACACAAAUCUGUCGAUGAUCGAAUUACCUCCCAUCGCCAUGGGUCAAAUUCAUGUGGGUUUUCAUAUACAUUAGGAUCCAAAUGAACAGAUGAUGGACAAACCAUUACCGUCCAGCCAGCAGGAAUUGUAUACCCUGCAAAUCAUUCGCACUUAUUAGUCAAAACUGGAAGUUAUAAUGGAGGAAAAGAAGAACAAAGGAAACAAAUCAUUUAUUUUCUAUAUUUUCCAAGUAGUUACUAAAGAGAGUUUUUCUUUUUUCUUUUUCCUGCAGGAGAAAGGCAUCACCGGUCCAAAUAAAGAAAGUGUGACAAAUGAUUUUCAAGAAGAUGCCAAGUGACAGAUUGAAGUAUACCUUUUACUUCAACUUCCUUGACAACUUUGCGCAAAAUCCCAGGGGCAAUAUUUGCAAGCCUAACUGUUUCAUUUAUAACCUACAGUAGACAACAAAACUUAAGAUGUAAAUGGUCUAGCUCACUAUAUGAUUCAAAUGAUAGAUACAAUGAAAUGUCUGGUUAAUUGGAACGUACCACGUGUGUGUGAAAGUCAUAGACUUGUACUCCUUCCAUGAAAUACUAGAACCUUCUGUUUCUCGCAUUUUAAGAAUAUUUUCAUGUUCUCUCUACAAAAAUGAAUGACUAUUUAAAUAUGAAGUAAUAUUUCAUAUUUUGUUAGUGUAAACAUCUAAUCAUAACAAUGUAUACCGUCAGUAAAUAUAAAAUAUUAAUCAUUUAAGUAUUCAACUUGCACAAGAAUUGGAGAAUUAAAGAGUAAAUACAGAUAACAACGGGAGAAAUUGUUUCGGAAAGUCAUGGACCUUUAGUUCAGCCAUAACACGUGGAUGGCCAUCUAGAUACCUCAAGGCCACAGUCAAAGCAGUUGAAGUCGUUUCAUGGGCAGCAAAUAGAAACAAAAAUACCAGGUCCCUCGCAAUUUCCUCAUUCAAAAAAGUGUCUUCUUUCUUUAUUUGCUCAAGUAAAUGGUCCGCAAAGUCAUAGUCAUUCGUAGCUCCAUCAUUGCCUGAGCGCUUCUUCUCAAAGAUGUCGUGGAUGACCUUCAUUGCUUUCUUUAAUUCGUUGAAUGUCAUCGGAGGGCAAUGCCUGUUGAAUUAUAGACAAACAGCCGUGCCGCGACGUCGUUGUCGGAGUGAAAGAGCAGUUUGACUAGUCUUGCAGAGGAGACCUGCAACUAGAUAUUUUCUUCCUCUGAAAAGUAUUUUUUUGUGUAUAAUAAAUAAUUCUUAAAAUUCUUCUGUCGCUGACUCAUGCUGUUGUUUCUUAUUGACUUGUAGACUUGUAGUAGUAACAAAAAGUUGAAUUGACAUUAAAGUUAGGAACAAAAAGUUGCAGAGGUUUAAUUACAAAGUAAUUAAUCAAUUAAGCUGCAAGUGAGGAUAUAUUUGAAUGUGGAUUAGCUCUCUGCCACUAUUUUUGGUAAUAAUUACGUGUUAUAGAUAUGUCUUAGCGACCCUCAAAGCUUAUCAAAUUAUAUUGUCAUAGUUCGAGAAGAUUAGCAGAAAAAAAAAGCGAGAGAGAGAGAGAGAGAAUCAGGAACCUGAAUAUCUUAUUCAUUUUAGUCAAAGGGAAUACGUCUAUGCUUUUUGGAAGCCAAAUUUGACGCUCCCGGUUGAAAUAGUGAAAGAAUGGACUUCUGAUUUGGCCUUUCUCUCUCUUCUUUACUAACAAAAGUCUUUUUUAAUUUGUUUAUCAAUUUUUGGGUAAUUUAGUCAUUACAAUUUGCCGCUUUUUAGUUCACUUAAGUUCCGUUUGAUAAAACUGAAUCUGAAUUCUAAUGUUUGAAUUCUGAAAUCUGAAUACUGAAACAAUUAAUUUGCUGAAUUUUAAGCACUGAAAAGAAAUAUAUGAAUGUCUGAAUUUUAAUGUUAAACCUAUUUAUACUGUUUGAUAAACAUUUAUAACUGAAUGCUUGAUAAGUUAAAUUUGACAAAUUUGCCCUUAUAUUUUUUCAUCCAAAAAAGAAAUAGAACCUAUGAUUUAAUUAGCUAAAAAUGUUAGGUAUGAAAAUGAUAAUAUAUAUUUUAAAAUCAAAUUAAUAUAAAAGAUGAAAUAUAUUAUAUGAGGAGUAUGGAGAAGAUGUGAAAAUCAUUCAAAAGGGAAAAAAAAGAAAUAGAAAAUCAUUAGAUAGAGAAUAUUAGAUUGUUUAAUUAGAUAAGAAUUUUAAACAUAAUUAACAAACAAGGGUAGAUUUGGAAGAUAAGAUAAGGAAAUUGAAGUAAUUCUAUUAAUUCUUAUUAGAAUUAAGCAUUCAGUUAGGAUUCUUAUGCUGAAAAAAAUACACACAAGUUCAACACUACUUAACAAGUUCAGCAAAUGGAUUUUCAUUUAUCAAACACUCAAAACAUCUGAAUGUCUGAAAAAAUUCAGAUUCAGCACUUUUUUAUAUUAUCAAACAGACCCUUAGUUAGAUCUUUUGAUUAUUGUAAUAUGUUCUUAAUUGUUGCUCAUAUUUUUUCCUUUGAAGCAAAAAUUUGAAACUAAAACUACAAGGAAAAAUUCAGGAAAAGUCAAGCGAGAAAGAAUGACGAAAAGAAACAUAUCUCCAUGCCUAGAUGAUAGUGCUUCAUUUCUUGAAAUGGAUGAUCAUUUGUGGUAUUAAAUAAAUAAUCAGCCCAAAAGAGUUUUCAUAAAGUAUAUGCUGAUCAAGUGGUCGAGGAAAAUCUAAGAAAUAGACAGGUGAAGCCACAAAAAUUGGUGAGAAAAUAUUCGCAACAAAGAAUAGACUUACAUGCACGAAUAAAAUAAUUUUGUCAAGGUACCUAAACAUACAAGAAUAGAAUAAAACAAUUUUGCAUGAGACGUUCCUCACAUUACGUGUCACAAGAGUAGGGGACACCUCCCCCAACCCCCGCCCCGUUGCAUUUUAAUUCCCCCCGCCCCACCCCGUCCCCCGCCCUGCCCCGCUUCUCCUGCCGGGGCACCCAUGGGGUUAAAAAAAUUUUAUUAUAAUUAAAUUUGAGCAAAUAAUCAAGUACUAAAAUAUCAACAUAUCACCAAAUUAUUAUUCAUUGUAACUUCACAAUUGAAACUCAUAAAAAUAAUUAAACAAAGGUUAUUUGAAUACAAUCUAAUAUGAUAAAACAAAUAUAACUAAAAUAAUCAAGUUUUCACUUUUGAUACAAAUACAAUCACUAAAUUAUUAUUGUAUUUUUUUUUAGAAAAAAAAGUGUUAUUGUAUUAAGUAUAGUUAGGAAUUUAACAUAAAUGUAUUAAUAAAUUUAGUAUAAAUAAUUAAUAAUUUGUAUUAAUAGACAUGUAUAAUUAGUAGUAUAAUUGAUAAUAUCAUUAUAUAUAUAUAAUUAUGUACAUAUAUAUAUAUAUAUAUAUAUAUAUAUAUAUAUAUUUUUUUUUUUUUUUUUUCAAACAGGUGGCGGGGUGGGGUUGGGUCGGGGGAGUAUACCCUAGAAACGGGGCGAAAAAAUUCCCCCCCUCCCCGCUCCCGCCCCAAUGAACCCCUACGGGCUUACACAUAUGUUCCAUUUCUAAUCGAUUACCUAAACUUAAUUUCACUUCUAUACUUUCACAUAUGCCAUUCCUAUAAAAGACUCUCACACUCAUUCGGAGGAGUCCAAAAUGCAAGUUGUUUUCGUAAUUUGUCAUCCUGGAUUAGAUCUACUAAAGGGGCCAAUUGUAGUGUGGUAAAUUAUGACCAUCCCCCACUUCGUGUCCACCAAAUUAUGAGGUGUGGCCCAAGAGUUUAUGUUUAUUCUUUUAUUUUUUUAUGUCAAUUACUUCUGUACAGCUUGAAAGUUCUUUGAUGGAGACUUGAAAGCAUGUUGUUAAUACAGGCAAAAAAAUAGUUAGAUUUUGGUGAUUUUGAGCUCAAUCAUGUUUUUCUGUUAAAAAAAUAGAUGCAUCAGUAAUUUCACCUGCACCCGUUGUGCAUCAAUUUUUUUUACGAUAAUGAUAUUUGUAUAAUCUAAUUUAUUCUAAUUUUAAAAAAAUCUAAAAAAAACUCCAGAAUUAAGCUACGUGUCGUGGUUGAAUGGCACCAGAUUGACGUUCCUACAGUGGGAAGGCCAAUACCAUACAAUUCCAUGAUAAAGAGGGUCAAGCCAAAAUCCCCUCCAUCCCAUUGAUAUUGCAUACUUUCUUUGUUGGAUGGUUCUAAAUUAUUUGUCAUUUAUAUAAAUUAGUUGAUAUAUUUCUAUUUAAUUUCUUCAUUUAGUCAUUUACUCCUCAGGCACUCCGUAAAAGUUCAAUGCAUGUUUUUUUUUUUUUGAGUCCACGUACUAUUAUCAAGAAAGUAAAACAACUACUUUUUUGUAGUAUGUAACAGUUAUCAAGUAAUUAAAAUCACAACAAUCUAAGAUUUGGUAAAACUUUCAAAUAUCUAAGAUUUUCCACAAAACCUAGGAUUGAACAAAUAUCAUAGCCCCACAAUUCUUUAUGAGUUAGAAACUACACAUCAAGUUUCAAAUUCUAUCCACUAUUAAUAAAAAUUGUAAUUCUUGAACUGCGACAAACUUUAUAAGAUGUAAGGAGCAAUAUUUACUGCAUACAUAUACAUGUAUUGUUUCUUGGCUUGAUUUGUCCUCAUAAAUAAGAUCAUUGCAUCGAUUUUGGUGAAGAAAAACAAUUAGUCGAAGCUCAAACUGCAACUAUUAUAACAUCUUCAACAAUUACAAUAGUGUCAAGAAAGACACCACGUAAAAUGUUGUUUAUUAGGCACUUACAAUAUUGCAAAGUAAGGUAAAUUACAAUAUGACGGUAAAUUACUGCAUCAUAAAUACGCUUCUGAAAGUACAGGCUUUAUUCGUACGCGCCCAGCUUAAAAUCUAUUUGUUCUCUGAAAUCUCCAUGUGCAAUCCCUUGGGGUAACGAAUACCAGUAGGUGUCCGGAUUCUCUCUGCUCCGUUGGUAACUCUCCAGCUGAAAAUUCAAAUUAGACAGUCUUUCUUGAAAAAUCGAAGAAGUUAAGUGGACAUCAAUUUAUAAUAUAUAGGAAUUAGCUUCUUCUAUAUGUAUUUAAGCGAAGAUGGUGGGAAUUGUGAUUUGGAAAUCCUUACGUGUAUUUUGUGACCAAGUAAUGCAGAAAAAUUGACAUCUGCACCUUUGCAUAGUCAGCACCAACGCAAAGCCUCGUACCACCAGCAAAUGCCAUGAAAUUUUUUGAUCCCAUGUGUAAUUCUUUGCCCUUUUGAUUGAAAAAACAGCAGAAAAACCCUAAAUCAUUUUUACUUGAUUUUGUUUAACUUUUGUUUUGUAAGUUUAUCUUUCUUGUGUGCAUAUAUUGCUCAAAUAU